rnacentral:rRNA from 1 species
CCUACGGGGGGCAGCAGUGAGGAAUAUUGAUCAAUGGACGAGAGUCUGAACCAGCCAAGUAGCGUGAAGGAUGACUGCCCUAUGGGUUGUAAACUUCUUUUAUAUGGGAAUAAAAUGUUCCACGUGUGGGAUUUUGUAUGUACCAUAUGAAUAAGGAUCGGCUAACUCCGUGCCAGCAGCCGCGGUAAUACGGAGGAUCCGAGCGUUAUCCGGAUUUAUUGGGUUUAAAGGGAGCGUAGGUGGAUUGUUAAGUCAGUUGUGAAAGUUUGCGGCUCAACCGUAAAAUUGCAGUUGAAACUGGCAGUCUUGAGUACAGUAGAGGUGGGCGGAAUUCGUGGUGUAGCGGUGAAAUGCUUAGAUAUCACGAAGAACUCCGAUUGCGAAGGCAGUUCACUGGACUGCAACUGACACUGAGGCUCGAAAGUGUGGGUAUCAAACAGGAUUAGAUACCCCAGUAGUC